AAAAAAUGUCCGCUUAGCAAAGAAGUACAAGAGAAAAACGUAUUUUCUUGUUCGGCAGUUUUACUAAUGGCGUUUGGAAACAAAGAAAUUUCCCUAAAGGGCUUAUGCGUCACGGUCGGUGAAAUCUGUAUUCAUCUUAUACUUUUUUCGUCACCCAAUCUGUUUAUCAAUGCGAAAUGAGUCCGAAAUUGGUAACGUCGCUCAAUGGGGAAGGAAACAAGAAAGAAAGAAACGGGGGUUAGAGGAAUAACGAUUGAAAAGCAACCAUAUCCUAUGGGACAAGGAAGAGCAAAAUUGCAUUUCUGUCCGGUCAAUAAAACUUUACAACUUAUUACUUCCGCAAAAUCUAUCCCAUGUGAAAUCGAAGGGAACAAUCGACAAUGAACUUAAAACACGUAGGCGAAUAAAAAAUCGAGGAUGAAACCAGACCAGAUUUUGGGGGAUGAUUUAAGACAUUAUAUUUCCAAGUGGCUAAAGAAGAGAGAAGUUUUCGGGUUUUUCAAUCCAACUCGUAAGUAGAAUAUGUAGAGGAUGGGCAAGCUGCAGCUUUCUG